rnacentral:rRNA from 2 species
AGACCCGAAACCCGGUGAUCUAGCCAUGGGCAGGUUGAAGGUUGGGUAACACUAACUGGAGGACCGAACCGACUAAUGUUGAAAAAUUAGCGGAUGACCUGUGGCUGGGGGUGAAAGGCCAAUCAAACCGGGAGAUAGCUGGUUCUCCCCGAAAGCUAUUUAGGUAGCGCCUCGUGAAUUCAUCUCCGGGGGUAGAGCACUGUUUCGGCUAGGGGGCCAUCCCGGCUUACCAACCCGAUGCAAACUGCGAAUACCGGAGAAUGUUAUCACGGGAGACACACGGCGGGUGCUAACGUCCGUCGUGAAGAGGGAAACAACCCAGACCGCCAGCUAAGGUCCCAAAGUCAUGGUUAAGUGGGAAACGAUGUGGGAAGGCCCAGACAGCCAGGAUGUUGGCUUAGAAGCAGCCAUCAUUUAAAGAAAGCGUAAUAGCUCACUGGUCGAGUCGGCCUGCGCGGAAGAUGUAACGGGGCUAAACCAUGCACCGAAGCUGCGGCAGCGACGCUUAUGCGUUGUUGGGUAGGGGAGCGUUCUGUAAGCCUGUGAAGGUGGCCUGUGAGGGUUGCUGGAGGUAUCAGAAGUGCGAAUGCUGACAUAAGUAACGAUAAAGCGGGUGAAAAGCCCGCUCGCCGGAAGACCAAGGGUUCCUGUCCAACGUUAAUCGGGGCAGGGUGAGUCGACCCCUAAGGCGAGGCCGAAAGGCGUAGUCGAUGGGAAACGGGUUAAUAUUCCCGUACUUGGUGUUACUGCGAAGGGGGGACGGAGAAGGCUAUGUUGGCCGGGCGACGGUUGUCCCGGUUUAAGCGUGUAGGUGUGUGUUCCAGGUAAAUCCGGUUCACUUUAACACUGAGGCGUGACGACGAGGCACUACGGUGCUGAAGCAACAAAUGCCCUGCUUCCAGGAAAAGCCUCUAAGCAUCAGGUAACAUCAAAUCGUACCCCAAACCGACACAGGUGGUCAGGUAGAGAAUACCAAGGCGCUUGAGAGAACUCGGGUGAAGGAACUAGGCAAAAUGGUGCCGUAACUUCGGGAGAAGGCACGCUGACACGUAGGUGAAGUGAUUUACUCAUGGAGCUGAAGUCAGUCGAAGAUACCAGCUGGCUGCAACUGUUUAUUAAAAACACAGCACUGUGCAAACACGAAAGUGGACGUAUACGGUGUGACGCCUGCCCGGUGCCGGAAGGUUAAUUGAUGGGGUCAGCGCAAGCGAAGCUCCUGAUCGAAGCCCCGGUAAACGGCGGCCGUAACUAUAACGGUCCUAAGGUAGCGAAAUUCCUUGUCGGGUAAGUUCCGACCUGCACGAAUGGCGUAAUGAUGGCCAGGCUGUCUCCACCCGAGACUCAGUGAAAUUGAACUCGCUGUGAAGAUGCAGUGUACCCGCGGCAAGACGGAAAGACCCCGUGAACCUUUACUAUAGCUUGACACUGAACAUUGAGCCUUGAUGUGUAGGAUAGGUGGGAGGCUUUGAAGUGUGG